AGCGUGCGCAGGCGGUUAUGUAAGACAGAUGUGAAAUCCCCCGGGCUCAACCUGGGAACUGCAUUAGUGACUGCAUAGCUGGAGUACGGCAGAGGGGGAUGGAAUUCCGCGUGUAGCAGUGAAAUGCGUAGAUAUGCGGAGGAACACCGAUGGCGAAGGCAAUCCCCCUGGGCCUGUACUGACGCUCAUGCACGAAAGCGUGGGGAGCAAACAGGAUUAGAUACCCUGGU
rnacentral:rRNA from 1 species